GGGCGGUUAGCUUAACGGAAUUAAAAGCGGCUCGCUUCGAACGAGUCCAGAUGCGGGUUCGAAUCCUGCACCGCCCU
rnacentral:tRNA from 1 species